GACGAACGCUGGCGGCGUGCUUAAUACAUGCAAGUCGAACGGAAAGGCGCUGCGUUUGUUGGUUGCUCGAUUGGCGAACGCGUGUGUAACACGCGUGUAACCUGCCCCUGACUUUGGGGUAACUUCUGGAAAAUGGGGCGAAUAUCGGAUAUGAUCUCCUGCAGCGUGGUGUUGGUUGGAAAGUUUCGGCGGUUCUGGAUGGACUCGAGGCUUAUCCGCUUCUUGGUCGGGUAGUGGCGUUCAAGGGGUUUGACGGCUAGGCUGCAUUAGAGGGUGACCGGCGACAUUGGGACUGAGAUACGCACCAGAAGCCUACGGGACGCAGCAGUGGGGAACAUUGCACAGUGGGGGGAAGCCUGAUGCAACAGCGUCGCGUGCGGGAUACCGGCCUUCGGGUUGUAAACAGAUUUCGCCUGUGCCGAAGCGUGAGUGACGGUAAUGGGUAAAAAAGCAACGGCUAACUACGUG
rnacentral:rRNA from 1 species